rnacentral:rRNA from 1 species
AGUGAACGCUGGCGGUAGGCCUAACACAUGCAAGUCGAACGGCAGCACAGGAGAGCUUGCUCUCUGGGUGGCGAGUGGCGGACGGGUGAGGAAUACAUCGGAAUCUACUCUGUCGUGGGGGAUAACGUAGGGAAACUUACGCUAAUACCGCAUACGACCUACGGGUGAAAGCAGGGGAUCUUCGGACCUUGCGCGAUUGAAUGAGCCGAUGUCGGAUUAGCUAGUUGGCGGGGUAAAGGCCCACCAAGGCGACGAUCCGGAGCUGGUCUGAGAGGAUGAUCAGCCACACUGGAACUGAGACACGGUCCAGACUCCUACGGGAGGCAGCAGUGGGGAAUAUUGGACAAUGGGCGCAAGCCUGAUGCAGCCAUACCGCGUGGGUGAAGAAGGCCUUCGGGUUGUAAAGCCCUUUUGUUGGGAAAGAAAUCCAGCUGGCUAAUACCCGGUUGGGAUGACGGUACCCAAAGAAUAAGCACCGGCUAACUUCGUGCCAGCCGCCGCGGUAA